CCUACGGGGGGCUGCAGUGGGGAAUAUUGGACAAUGGGGGGAACCCUGAUCCAGCCAUGCCGCGUGUGUGAAGAAGGCCCUCGGGUUGUAAAGCACUUUCAGUGAGGAAGAACGCCUGGUGGUUAAUACCCAUCAGGAAAGACAUCACUCACAGAAGAAGCACCGGCUAACUCCGUGCCAGCCGCCGCGGUAAUACGGAGGGUGCGAGCGUUAAUCGGAAUUACUGGGCGUAAAGCGCGCGUAGGUGGCUUGAUAAGCCGGUUGUGAAAGCCCCGGGCUCAACCUGGGAACGGCAUCCGGAACUGUCAAGCUAGAGUGAAGGAGAGGAAGAUAGAAUUCCCGGUGUAGCGGUGAAAUGCGUAGAGAUCGGGAGGAAUACCAGUGGCGAAGGCGGCCUUCUGGACUGACACUGACACUGAGGUGCGAAAGCGUGGGUAGCAAACAGGAUUAGAUACCCUGGUAGUC
rnacentral:rRNA from 1 species